ensembl:lncRNA
AUGGUGAUGGAGGAAGAAGGCUGACACGCUGACAGCAGGCACUUUAAAGCACGCACACACACACACUCACCCACGCAAUGCAGUCCAAACGUCACAGCAGCACUUUGGUGGUGAUAAUGCAUAUACACAUACACACACACGCACAUAACCUUCAGAGAGCGUAUUCACACAACAUGCUAGUGUAUCCUUACACACACACACUGACUGUCAAACAUGUUUUUAACACUCUGUGAAACAUGCUGCAGUAGGCAAGUUGACAAGACGCACAAAAGGGAGAGCACCUCUCAUGUAACACAGUUGCCUUCUUACACACUGUAAGAACUAAUGCAAUUAACACACUCCGGAGACCCGUGUGUGUGAGUGUAUACGUUGAGGGCUCAUUUGAAAUCUACCUGUCUUGCUGACAAGGCUGUGUGUGUGUGUGUGUGUGUGUGUGUGUGUGUGUGUGUGUUAGGCCAGCAAAUGACAAUUUUUCAUUCACAGACAGUAACAGAUGUCCCGUCGGGACAUACACACACACACACACACACACAAACGCACACAGCAGCUGUGAAAAAAAACAGGGCGAGGGCGUUCGAUGACACUGUUUCCUUUCGAUUGAAAAUGUUUCCCACAUAUUUGUAGCAGCAUCAACCUUCAAAGCGGAUCCGACCUUGCCCUUGUAAACAUCUCCAUGUAACAGGACACACACACGCAUACACAAACUUGUAACGUUGGUUAUUUUGGUCUUUCGGUAAACAGUUAAAAUGGUCUAAAGAUUUUUUUAUAUUUGUUUAACUGAAGAGCUAUUAAAGUAUGCCUUUUGCAUCUGACAGGCUAAACAAGAGCAUACAAGAGAAAAUAUACAGUUGAAAAAAAAGGCAAUAAGUAGUUGGAAGUCUCUUGAAUACAUGAAAUACAGUACCCUUGUUUCAAAGCCAGACUUGAACAGGCAAGGUGAGUUAAGUACUAAAUAAAUCUGCCUGAUGAUCCCCUAAAAGCAUAUACUAUACAAGUACCUGGGCUGGGUCUGUCUUUUCAACAUUUAUGUAGGGCAUUUUCAUUCCAGUGAAGGGAAGUCAUUUAAUAGCAUGCAAGUCUAUUUCAGACAAUGGUGUUUGCAUCUUGGAUGUAAGUCCCACCAGCCAGACGCCAAGUUGAGGUGUUUCGGUACACGUACAAAUAUGUACCUUCAAAGUUAACUGACCAAAUCACUGUCAUCAUGCCAAAUAAUCAUCAUCUCAUCAAAUCAGUCGUUUUUUUCUUCCCUGGAGACAGCAGCACAGCCGGCAUUCAGUCUGUUGGUUUUUGGGUAAGGACGGUGUGGGACAUGGGAUAUUUUGUGACUCCAUGUGUGCUUUUAUUAAUAAUUAAGACCAUUUAAGUCACUUUCAUGUAAACCAGAUCGCUCCAUCAGACAAAAACAAAUAAAAUUGAACUCAGUGCAACUAUUGACUCAUUCCUUAGUCAAUACCACUGCUUCAAAAAACUUGUGCAAAGCCGGUGUAUGACGAAUAGCAAAUAAAUGUCUCAUCUCACUCAUUAAGGGUAAACUUGUAUCAUCGUCACAUCAUGAAAUCAUUGGCAACAAAACACAAGGACCACACACCAUGGAGCACAGCACCAGACCAACUAAACCAACACCCUCUAACCCAGUUCCCCUGUCCAAGUAUUCAAAAAAUGCGUUAAUUCUGCAUAUCCUCGUUUAAGACUGAAAUGAUCCAGAUUGCCAAAAUGCCCUCGGUCUCACUGGCAGCUAUUUUGACAGAGUUAGUUAUCCGAUGCUGUCUCCUGAAGCUGUUUGUUCACACUGUGAAUAAACGCAAUGUGAAAACAGCACUGCCCUUAAGCCAUAUGUCAAAGUUAGAAGAAAAAGAAUGCAUAUGUUUAUUAAUGUGCAGUUCUUCUUCUUCUCCCCUCCUUCUCCUGCUUCACCUUGUCCCAGCCCUCUAUUCCCUUCUCCUCCUCCUCCUCCCUCCCUUCUCUCAUUAUUUACUUCGUCAAUUUCCUUCUUCUUCAAUUCCACUCAUUAUCCUUGUCCAUUCCUCUCCUUGUUCCUAAUUGUCCUUAUCCUGCUUUUCAUUCUUCUUCCCCUCCCUUCCCCUUCUCUUUUUUUAAUUAAUUAAUUCCUUCUCCUCUCCCUUGUCAUUUUCACCCUGUUCUGUCCUUUUCUCCUUCCCUUGCUUCUUCUCUUCAUUUCCAUAACGAUUUUGCCAUUCAAGCAAAAAUACUGCUUACCGCCUGAAAGAUCUUACAGAUAUGCAAAUUAGGGUGUAAGGCACGUUCAGCAUAAACACACGCGCACACAAUCUGCUACGCUUUUUGACAAUAUAUACAGACAUUAAAAGAGGAUGAAUAAAGAACUGUACAGUCAUACCUAAGCCCAGAUGCUACACAUAUUUAACAAGGAUGUAAAAAUGUGAGCCAGCCUCACAAAUGAAAGCGGCGCAUUUAGUUUGUUCAGCCGUUGUAAAAAAGUUGUACAUACACACAUAUCACAAUAGUCCAAUUAACACAGAUUUCUUACGAGUGGUGUCUGCAACCAUCAAUCACCACAACAAAUUGGAAUGAAGCACAGUGUUACUAACAAGAGCACAGUGAGCUGUUUUGUCCAGAGGUACAACUUUUUACCACAACCAGGUCAAUGAAAAUGCUUUUGUUCAGAUUGAGCCACUUUCAGUAACAAUCAGGAGGUUUGUCUGAAAAGCCAAAAGUCAUUGCAGUUGCUUAUUGCUAUUGGCAAAAAAUUCCUUUGUAAAUUACAUUUAGUUUCAAAGUCAAAACAAGCCUCACGUAAGGGUGUGUCUGCUAAUAGGAGAGGAGACAUUCUUAUCCACAAGUCGUUAUCCAUGCAACAUGUUUAGUUAUAGCUGCUGUGCUUGUCUGCAGGUGCAUCACCUGAAUGCUUUACUUUCCUUAAAGUAUUCGGCCAUAGAUCAUUGCGGGAAGCUUUUUACACGUCAUGGAAUGAUAAUUUGUAUAAUGAUUGCCAUACUGAGUUAUUUCACCCAACUUCUUUAGGAACAAACUUGUUUUAAAACUUACCUUUUGGCUUAUCUGAUUGUAAUAACAUGUGUUGCUAUCAUGUAAAAGUUAUUUGCAUACUAGCUGCCUUUCUAUAGAAUAGCAGACAUUCUUUAUUUUCAGAAAAUGUAUAUGAAAAUGCACACUGCUAGCCCAACACUGACCACCAUGAAGGCUAAUAGAGUCUUGUUAUGAGACGUAGAGCAGAUUCACAUUAUUUCAACAGUUUGCUCCUAUUCCAGCAUUGAGAUCUUUUUUUCCCGGCCGAAAAUUCUCUGCCCUAAAUUUCUAAAUACCAACUUAAAAAAUGUAUAGAAAAGGAUAAUAUGAGAUUAUAAUUAGUGAAUUUAAUUCAGUCAUACUUAUCAACCUUUCUUCCUAUUGGGGACAUGUAUCAAAAACUGACUGAAGGUACACCACCAUAAAACCUAUUUUCUUUGUGACAAUGUUUUCAAUUCUUUGUUCAGCGGAUAUUCGCUACUAUUCAUCCGGGUUUUCAUUUAAUCUGAUAUCGCCCUGCAGCAUCGCAGAAUGCUUUGCUGGCAGGAUAUUCGCCCAGAACACCAACAACUCCCGAGCAGGUCCUCUAACCACAGAGGAGUCACUUUCUUCUGGAUUUCUCUAUUGCCAUUAACAAAAAAAGAGACUUCUUCCCAGAAACUUGGACGAACACCAGCUGUGGUGUGACGGUCAAGCUGCAGCUGAAUCCAGAUCACGCAGGUUUGCUCUGCAGAACAUUUUCAAACCUCCAAUAGGCUCUGACGAUUAAAAUACUGUCCACACACUGGGCAAUGACUUCAAUAAGUGUUAAGUGCCUGGUAUCUCCAUUUUUUUAUAGCACACGUGUCAAACUAACCCAAAUUCGGCCGCAUUUUCCGCGGCCGCCGAUCGGAUCGUCAGCACCACCCCUCCCUGUGAUUUUAAUGGUCGGGCCCGCUUUCGAGUGGACAGUCUCUGGGACGAACCUGAAAUGAGUUUGACACCCCUCUUUUAUAGGGAUGGAUAUCCGGUAAGGGAUUUUUUUCAAGGAAUAUCUUGCCCUUUAUACAUCCGGGCGAAUGAGUAGAGGGUCCACUGGCCCGGCUGAAGCCCGGCUGCUCCAUGUCCUAUGUCGAAGUGUCCCUGAGCGAAACACCUAACCCCUGAUUGCUCGCUGGGCAAAAUGUGAAAACCAUGGGUCGCUUUGGAUAAAAGGGUCAGCUAAAUGACAUGUAAUGUAAUACUGGCGGCAAAAAGAUUUAUUAAGAUGAAAGAUGACCAGCACAAGCUGCAGGGUUGUGCUUUUGCAAUUUCAUUUUGCCCAAAAUUGCCAGUGACCUGCAUUGCAUAUGUAGCAGCUUGAAGACAGAUGGGUUCAAACUGCUCUGAGAACCACAGUGACCUUUGAAGAAAUUUCAUGGAAAGACCCCCGAAGAGGAAGCGCCUAGCAGUUAGCUCAUAGCCAGUGUAGGAUGGCAACCUGGAGGUAAGCAGAUGAAGCAACGCUGCUAAAAUGGAUUCUUUUGUGGAGCUAAAUGGUGUGAAAGUUGUCCAUUCGCUCCGUUUACUGAGUGAGAUAGACUGAAACAAAGCAGCUUUUCAUCAUCAGCACAAAUUGCAGUCCAAGGGCCGCUUUGAGUGCAAUAAAAGCAGAAUAGUGUGAAUUUCUCUUGCCCUCAGACAUCUCCCAUCUGGUCCACUUAAUUUACGUGCCUGUGUUACUCACACGCUUCACACUCCACAGUUCGAUCAUUGUGCUUAUGUUGAAUUUCAAACCCUGGUAUUUGCAUACAGGGCUGUAAAUGAUCUAUCCUUUUUAAAGUGCACAAGAGGGGAAGUAAUUAGAGAGAGAGCGAGAGAGAAGAUUUCACUGUAGCGAGAUUUGAGCCGGAAUCCCGUGCGCAUUAAUGCAGCUUCAAGGAGCUGUCCAGCACUUUAGGAAACAUGGUUCAAGGGUUGGAUCGGUAUG